rnacentral:rRNA from 1 species
UACGUAGGUCCCGAGCGUUGUCCGGAUUUAUUGGGCGUAAAGCGAGCGCAGGUGGUUUAUUAAGUCUGGUGUAAAAGCCAGUGGCUCAACCAUUGUAUGCAUUGGAAACUGGUAGACUUGAGUGCAGGAGAGGAGAGUGGAAUUCCAUGUGUAGCGGUGAAAUGCGUAGAUAUAUGGAGGAACACCGGUGGCGAAAGCGGCUCUCUGGCCUGUAACUGACACUGAGGCUCGAAAGCGUGGGGAGCAAACAGG